rnacentral:rRNA from 1 species
ACCAGCAGCCAUAUCACCCUGUAGCCCAAACUAGUUACCCACUGAAGCUAAGCAGGGCUGAGCCUGGUCAGUACCUGGAUGGGAGGCCUCCUGGGAAAACUAUGUUGCUGCUGGUA